rnacentral:rRNA from 1 species
GUCCACGCCGUAAACGAUGAGUGCUAGGUGCUGCGGGUAUUGACCCCUGCGGUGCCGUAGCUAACGCGUUAAGCACUCCGCCUGGGGAGUACGGCCGCAAGGCUAAAACUCAAAGGAAUUGACGGGGGCCCCGCACAAGCGGUGGAGCAUGUGGUUCAAUUCGACGCAACGCGCAGAACCUUACCUGGGUUAAAUCCACUCGAACCUUGCAGAGAUGCGGGGGUGCUCUUCGGAGAGCGAGUGAGAAGGUGCUGCAUGGCUGUCGU